UACGUAGGUGGCAAGCGUUGUCCGGAUUUACUGGGCGUAAAGAGCGCGCAGGCGGUCGUUCAAGUCGCGUGUGAAAGCCCCCGGCUCAACUGGGGAGGGUCACGCGAUACUGAUCGACUCGAAGGCAGGAGAGGGUAGUGGAAUUCCCGGUGUAGUGGUGAAAUGCGUAGAUAUCGGGAGGAACACCAGUGGCGAAGGCGUUCUGCUGGGCCGUUGCUGACACUGAGGCGCGACAGCGUGGGGAGCAAACAGG
rnacentral:rRNA from 1 species